CGGCUUUCCCAUUUGUCGACCGGGAGCCAUGACUGAUUCUGUCAUCCGCAUUAAGCGGUACCACUACAUCCACAUCUUGGACAACAACACCAACGUCACUCGCACCAUCUCCGGGCCCGUCGUCUACACGCGGAAGGAGCACGAGACAUGCCUGUUUGACCCGUGCCCGUGCGUGUCGGUGCCGCCGCGUCACUACUGUGUUGUCAAGAAUCCAUGUGUGCGAGAUGAGGCGGGGGAGGUGGUGUUGGAGUCGUCGGGGCAGGUGAAGCUCCGUCUCGGCGACUCUGAGAUCCGCUUUGAAUGCGAGCCUUUUCCCUUGUACCCCGGCGAAGAGUUGGACUGCAGGGACGGUAAAGGCGUGCAAAAGCUGCAGCUGAUCCCGCCCAACACUGGCCUCCACGUGCGGUGCGUUCGCGACUUCAAAGAUGCGGACAGGCGUGUCGGUGCGGGUACGGAGUGGAUGGUGGCUGGGCCGCAAACGUACAUCCCGCGCGUUGAGGUGGUGGUGGUGGAGGAGGUGAAGGCAACGGUCAUUUAUCCAAACACUGCCUUGCUGGUGCAGGCGAACGUCAACUUCACCGAUCGAUGCGGGGUGCCUCGGGUGGCGGGGGAAAAGUGGCUGGUGCGGGCAUUGGGAGCGUAUCUCAAAUCUGUUGAGGAGACGGUCCUGGGCUUGAUACAGGGUACCAUGCUCAGCGACCUCAAGGCGCUGCGCCUGAGCGCCGUGCGCAGCUUCACCGAUGUGUAUGGGAAGGCGCGGCGGGCUGGGGAGCAGUGGCAGGUGACAUUGAAGGACGCACCAGUGCACAUCGUUGAUGCCUACGAAACUAAGGUGGCCGAUGUCGCCGCUGUCUCACUCAGCGCGAAGGAGUAUGUGAUCAUUCACCACCCCGUCGACGACACCGGCCAUAACCGCUUCGGUGAGACGCUUGUGCGCCGUGGCGAGUGCACCUUUUUCCUGCAGCCAGGGGAGACAAUGCCGCGCGGUGUCGAGCAGGUGCUCGUGGUCGGAAAGGAAGAGGCGCUGCUGCUGGAGGCGGUGUGUGAGUACCGUGACGGAGGUGAGAAGCGGCAGCCGGGCAGCCGAUGGAUGGUGCACGGCCCUCUCGAGUACAUCCCCGCCAACGAAGUGAAGCUGCUGGAGCACCGCCGUAUGAUGGCGCUGGACAAGAACGAGGGCAUUUACAUAAUGAACACGACAACGGGCGAGGUGCGUGCAGUCAUUGGCAAGCCUUACAUGCUGGAUGUUAACGAGGUGCUGUGGGAGAAGCACCUGCCGCUCGCCGUCGAGGAGCUCCUCGAGUCUCCGAACGGCAGCAUUCAAACGAGUGAGCGCAACCCUGGCUUUGUCAGCCACCGCGAAAAGUACCGUAUUGUCCGAUUCAACGUGCAGCACAACGCUGCAGUGCAGAUUUACGACUACCGCAAGAAGCAGCCGCGCAUUGUGCUGGGCCCAAACCUUGUCAUGCUGGCCCCGCAUGAAGAGUUCACCGUGCUCUCGCUUAGCGGCGGCACUCCGAAGGUGCCGAACUCGUUGCAAUCACUCCAGCUCUUUCUCGGGCCGCGCUUCUCGAGUGACACCAUUGUCGUGGAGACGUCGGAUCACGCUCGCCUACGCUUGCGGCUGUCGUACAACUGGUACUUUGACAUCGACCGCGCCAACCCUAGUCGGAGGACUUUCUCGGUGCCGGACUUCAUCGGCGACUGCUGCAAGACCAUCGCCAGCCGCGUGCGCGGCGCCGUCGCAGCCGAGGACUUCGACUCCUUUCACCGCAACUCUGCCAAAAUCAUCCGCACUGCUGUCUUUGGCGUCGACGAGGCUGGCGAGACGAAGAAGAAUCUGCGCUUCACCGCAAACGACUUUGUUGUGACGAACAUCGAUGUUCAGUCGUCGGAGCCGACGGACGAGAAGACGCGCGACAGCUUGCAGAAGUCCGUGCAGCUCGCGAUUGAAAUUACGACCAAGUCGCAAGAGGCGGCUGCACGUCAUGGCAACGAGCUGAAGGACCAGGAGGCCAAAGGGCAGCUGGAGCGGCAGAAACUGCUUGACAAGAUCGAAGUGGAGAAUGCAAGGACAAAGUGGCUGGAGCUGCAGGCGAAGAGCGAGGCAGUGCAGGCGAGUGGGCAGUCCGUCGCGGAGGCAAAGGCGCGCGCAGAAGCGCUGCUCAUCGAAGUGCGCUCUGAGAUGCAGCAGGCGGAGAUGCGGGCGAAAGCGUACCGUAUCUCAGCGGAGGCAGAGCUGCAGAAGCUGCAGCAGCGACAAGCUCUGGAGCUCGAGUACACCCAGCGGCAGAAUGAGAUAGACGUUUCCAAGGCACGAGCGGCGGCUGAGGCAGAGGCGGAGAAGGUGAAGCGGAUGGUUGACUGCAUUGGCCGUGACACCUUGGUCGCCAUCGCCCGCGCAGGUCCCGAGACACAGGUGAAGUUGCUGAGCAGCCUCGGCCUAAAGGGCUACCUCAUCACCGACGGAAACAGUCCAGUCAAUUUGUUUGGCACAGCGCAAGGAAUGAUUGGGGAGCCGAAGAAGUGAUUCAGCGGGCACUGCACCGCGCAUCAGUACGCUGGCCUAUCCUUGUCUGACCGCGCGCUUAUGUGCGCCUCAUUCCUACCUGCCCUCAUUGUUAGAAUGGUUGGGCGGGGCUUGCUCAUGCGCAUCCGUAUUUCUCUUUACUGCUGGUUUCCAGCAGGUCCCUUCCUUUUCUUACGUGACCACCACUUCCGCGGGCUUCCCGUUCGCCUCUUUCUUUACUCAGCACUGUUUUGAACGUUUACCACAACAGAGAAGGGGGAUGUACGCGCGCACCACCGGAAAACCGUGUCAGGGUGUACCACGGCUACUUGUAUGUGAGCGCCCUUCUUUUUAUUUCGCCGUUGCUUGUCGACUCGGUGGGUGGAGUGUCCCGGCCCGUUUCACUGUUUCCCCUCAGCGCUGCUCAUUUUUCGACAUCUUGAUUGGCUCUCGUGUUUGCGUGUGCUGCGUGGAGGGAGGGGGCGCCUUGCCCGCCUCCCCCCGCUCUCUCGAUUCCUUUUCCCUCUUGGCACACACUGGCCGUCUAUGCCCUCCUCGCCAGCUUCCUCCUCUUCCGCUGCUUGACGCGUGCCAGAUGCAGCGGUAGCGGCAUUGAGGGAAGCAGGCGCAGCUUUCUUUUCCAUAACACUCGUGCGCUCAUGAAUCCUCUGCGAGCGUGCCGCUGUGUUUUUCUCUCUACACUGCAGCACGCCUCAUACCGAUGGCAUCAGUAGCCGUGGAAGAGAAGCGGAGUCCGACAGAUGAGCGUAGCCGCGCAGCUCCUGCGGCUACCGCACCUGACGAGAAAGUUGCUGCGUGCGCAGAUUCCAAUGUGCCCUUGCACGGAAGAUCACUUUUGGGUACCCUUAUUGCUCUCCUACGUGGUGGAGUGCCCCUGGUGACGGGGGACGCCUCAGUGCGCCGUAUCUCAGAGUCCAGCACCCCCCCUCCACAGUCGCUGCGUUGGAAAGCCGGGCAGCCCUCCUAUGUCCCUGCCACGUGCCGAGCCGCUUCUGGUGGUGACGGGGCCAGGCGCCAACACUGCUGAAAACGACUGAGCGAUGUGCCGCUGGUGGUGUCGGCGGUCAGGUCCUGGACGGCGCUGCGUCGGAGCGACCUGCGACCGUGUGAGCGCGCUUGUGCCAUCCAUGCGAUCAGGCCGAGCGCCAGCGUGUCUUGUCCGGCCCCGACACUGCCUGCUGGUGUGGGGAACGCGAACCCCCCCCCGACAGCAGCACCAGGUGCUGACCAGCGUGAUGGGAGCGGCUGCGAGGCGACCUGCGAGACGGUGGCGGGCGGAGAGGUUGAGGCAGGGGCCGCUCACAGAUGGCCGCGUCAGCGCAUGUGGUGCAACGCUUGUGUGCCGCUGCGUGGCACCUCGCGGACGGGGCCUUGUGACAGGGGGCCGGCCGGACUGGCUUUGGAAGCACGUUGCACGGCCGAAUGGACACGCUGAGAUAAAAGAUCAGUGGUGUGAAGCAUCCUCUGCCGAGCUGUCAUCUGGCUGAUGGCGCUGAUAUGUAACGGUGAGGCGGUGAUAGCACAGAGCGAGCAUGCGCGCAAGGACAGCCACAUCCGUAGAUGUAUGCAUGCAUGUGUUCUACCGAGAUGGCCCGCGACUGGUGAGUCCUUCGACGAGGUGAGUGGCCAUCUUGAUGCGAGGCAUUUUUGCUCGUGCCUCUGGCUUGAUGGCUGUGCUGCCUUCGCACUGCCUUGCCUGUUCGCUCUUCUCACUCAGGUCUGCUCUCUGCUUGUCUGCCUCUGGAUACGUCUCUGAGUCCUAGAGCACCGUCACAC
rnacentral:misc_RNA from 1 species